rnacentral:rRNA from 1 species
AUGCGAGUGCUCCGCGUCACCCAAUCCCGCCGGUCUCGCCCGCAACACCUUGUUUUUCGCAUCGUGACUUCCCCAGACCGAGAAACCUUGAGCGCUCCUCCCUUCCCCGCGUCCCGUGCGCUUCCCACUGAUCUGCCCCAAGUCAACCCCGUCUCCGGUCGCUGCCCGCGCUCCUGCAAGCGGGCGACGACCUCCUAUGCCGGCCAGCCGCGCCCAACUCCCUCCUCCCUUCUAUCCCCCUCUCUUCACUAAUCUCUAUCCUCUCUCUUCGUUCCCACGCUGCAGAACGCCAUGGCCAUGGACCAAAGCUCCGCUGGUCCUUCGCUCGCGGCUGCCAGUCUUCCUACAGACCACAUCGACGACGGUGAUGACCGGAUCUGCCUCGUUGCCAUCCGUUUCCAUGGGACGUCAGCGGAUGGGCUUUCCUCCACUCAGCCUUUAUCCCCCCGCGGGCUCGCCAGUGAUUGGACCUACUCAGCAUGCGGGAUUGCGUCCUCUCCUGGCGAGGUGGCCGUGUCUUGCCCGCCGCGCCCUCGGCUGUAGAGUCUUUUUCCUCGGCGUGCCAUCCACCAGUAGCUCUGUCGCCGUUUAUACCACCGUGUGCCACUGCUGGUUCGCGUGAACCAUCCAGGUUCGAAACUGAAUUUUAUCAGAGGAAGUUCUGUGUGUUUGCAAGCCUGCAACACCCGUUGCAUUUUCUUCAGCAUGACCAACAACUCCACCUCUGAAGUUAACCAUGGUCAGCUACCCAAUAUAUCGUCGAGAUGCUUGACGGCAUCACUGCAGCGCACGAUUUCGAGGUGGUCGUUUACCAAUUGCAGGAUGGCAUCAGGGUCGGCAAGCACUUUCGCUCAGGUUUCCGCCUCGCCUAACAUCCGCCCCACCUCCCCAGGCAUCCCAGCCGCCACCUCCGUGUCGAGCCCCUGUGCUGUUGGUGGACAAGGUUUGCAAGAGGCAACUUAUUUUCUUAGCUUUAUUUGUUUCUUAGAUAGGUCAUGCUUUUCUAUAUUAUGGAUGGAUUCUUGAUAGCCAUCAUGGAUUACUACUAAGUUGGUAACCGAAUAUUAAAUAAGUAAAAAGUCUGCACAGUAUAGUACUGAUAACAUGGUGUUAGUCUCUAUGAUAUUUUUUUGCUUAAUGCCUAUAUUAGUCGAAUUUAAUUGGUUUGUAUAGUUACACCCACAGAUUACACCAUUCAAUGAGUUUGAUUCGGGGCACGAUCAAUGUUGUUCGUUGUUCUGAUCCAUGAUUCCUAGCAUUUUUUUGUUUCAUGAAAGGUGGUCACAUUCAGAUUCAGAUUUUUAUAAUUACAUUCAGGUUAUUUUUAGUUAAUGAAGAGAUGUUUAGCCAUCCUCCCUGGGGCUCCAAUCUGUGAGUAUGUUGGUGUGUUGAGGACAGGAGGUACUAAUUGUUUCACUUCAAGGUUUCAUUUUGCUUACGCAUCAUUUGUCUCAUUGCUCGGUUUCUUAGUUUGUCUCUUAAAAAUGGAUGUUUGUAAAUGAUUUGUUUCCACUCUUGUACAGCAAAGGGCAGGGUCUGAUAUGCAUAUGCCAUCACUUCAUAUUGAGAACGAUUCCGAGGAACCACCGGCACCGGAGUACUGCAUCAAUGCUGGCUCCGUUGGAAGUUUCACAAGGUUCAUAAACCACAACUGCAACCCUUACCUCUUCGCCCAGUGUGUCCUAACCAAUUACCACGACGUCAAGCUAGAAAAGGUGAAGCUUUUUGCUGUUGACACUAUACUUCCACUUCAGGUGAAUUGAUUUAUGUUGCAUCUCAACAAUUUCUACCGGUAAAACUCUAUAACUUCUCUUGAGUUCUAACUGGUAUACGUACUUUGCCGGAGCUUUGCUAUGACUACGGUUAUGUCUUGAAAAACUUCGUUUCUGCGGAUGUUGAAAUCGUCAAGCUGCCAUGCUACUGUGGCGCCCCAGACUGCCAGAAGCGACUCUACUAGCGAAUCUUUUCUGUUUGGGGGAUUAUAUGCAGUAUUGUGGGUAUGAAUGCGGCAAUGCCUGUUGUGUAUAUGAUAAGCACGACAUCCUAUAAUUAUUAGCGAAAGAAGCACGUUCUCUUUUUGUGCAGGGUAGAUGACAUGCGGACACACUAAUUAUAGUUAGUAAACAAAGUUUAUCUGGGUGACAUGCCUGUGUUGGAAAUAUGCCCUAGAGGCAAUAAUAAAAU